UCUUCCUUCUUUUUAUGAACCCUCCGAGGGUUAUUUCCAUAGCUUCUAGCAAGAAUGUGCUCAGCCACGGCUUCUAAAGCCGUAAGGUCUUUAAUAUUUUUAGACUUCAACCCCAUUUCAACCAUUUCUCCAUGUUUAAUCAUUUUUGAGAAUGGUUUUCCUGUCCCUGCUAGGACCCUCUCCUAAGCUUCCUGUAUAUCAAUGAAUGCCAUUACCAUUUCUGUUUCUGUCAUUGAUGGAGUGACUUGGGUAGCCAGGCGUCUCCAUCGUUGGGCAUAUUCACGAAAAGAUACAUUGCUUUGCUUCUUAACCUUAGUGAUUUGAUACCUAUCUAGAGCCAUUUGUGAUUGGAAACUAUAUUGAUUUAGGAAGGUAUGUGCUAGCUCAUCCCCGCUGUGAAUUUUAGAAUUGUCCAAUACCUCAUUUG
rnacentral:lncRNA from 1 species